rnacentral:rRNA from 1 species
UGCCUACGGGGGGCAGCAGUAGGGAAUAUUAGAAAUGGACGAAAGUCUGAUCUAGCAACACCGCGUGUGCGAAGAAGGCCUUCAGGUUGUAAAGCACUUUUUGGAAGGAUUAGGAAGGAAUGUACUUCCAGAAUAAGUCUCGGCUAACUACGUGCCAGCAGCCGCGGUAACACGUAGGAGGCAAACGUUAUCCGGAUUUACUGGGCGUAAAGCGCGUGUAGGUGGUUCUGUAAGUAGGGCGUGAAAGCUCCUGGCUCAACUGGGAGAGGCCGUUCUAAACUGCAGAGCUAGAGGAUGGUAGAGGGAGGUGGAAUUCCGGGUGUAGCGGUGGAAUGCGCAGAUAUCCGGAGGAACACCAGUGGCGAAAGCGGCCUCCUGGACCAUUCCUGACACUCAGACGCGAAAGCUAGGGUAGCAAACGGGAUUAGAUACCCUAGUAGUC